GCCCUCGUAGCUCAAUGGAUAGAGCACCGGACUUCUAAUCCGACGGCUGCAGGUUCGAAUCCUGCCGAGGGCG
rnacentral:tRNA from 1 species